rnacentral:rRNA from 1 species
UGCCAGCCGCCGCGGUAACACGUACUGUGCGAACGUUAUCCGGAAUCACUGGGUUUAAAGGGUUCGUAGGCGGACCGAUAAGUCAGAGGUGAAAGCCAACGGCUCAACCGUUGAACUGCCUCUGAUACUGUCGGUCUUGAGUCCGUUAGGGGAUGGUGGAAUUCCUGGUGCAGCGGUGAAAUGCGUAAAUAUCAGGAGGAACACCGGUGGCGAAGGCGACCAUCUGGGACGGAACUGACGCUGAUGAACGAAAGCUAGGGUAUCAAACGGGAUUAGAUA